UACAGAGGCCCCAAGCAUUAUCCGGAUUUACUGGGCGUAAAGGGUGCGUAGGCGGUGUGAUUAGUCGGGUGUUAAAUCCUGGGGCUCAACCUCAGAAUCGCAUUCGAAACGGUCAUACUAGAAGGUGUGAGAGGUAAGCAGAACUCAGGGUGUAGGGGUGAAAUCCGUUGAUAUCCUGGGGAAUACCAAAUGCGAAGGCAGCUUACUGGCACAUUCUUGACGCUGAGGCACGAAAGCGUGGGUAGCGAAUCGG
rnacentral:rRNA from 1 species